UACGGGGGGGGCAAGCGUUGUUCGGAAUUACUGGGCGUAAAGGGCUCGUAGGCGGCCAACUAAGUCAUACGUGAAAUCCCUCGGCUUAACCGGGGAACUGCGUCUGAUACUGGAUGGCUUGAGUUCGGGAGAGGGAUGCGGAAUUCCAGGUGUAGCGGUGAAAUGCGUAGAUAUCUGGAGGAACACCGGUGGCGAAGGCGGCAUCCUGGACCGAUACUGACGCUGGAGGAGCGAAAGCGUGGGGAGCGAACAGG
rnacentral:rRNA from 1 species